CAAACCUACACAGGUGGUCAGGUAGAGAAUACCAAGGCGCUUGAGAGAACUCGGGUGAAGGAACUAGGCAAAAUGGUGCCGUAACUUCGGGAGAAGGCACGCUGGUGUGUAGGUGAAGUCCCUGCGGAUGGAGCUGAGACCAGUCGAAGAUACCAGCUGGCUGCAACUGUUUAUUAAAAACACAGCACUGUGCAAACACGAAAGUGGACGUAUACGGUGUGACGCCUGCCCGGUGCCGGAAGGUUAAUUGAUGGGGUUAUCCGUAAGGAGAAGCUCUUGAUCGAAGCCCCGGUAAACGGCGGCCGUAACUA
rnacentral:rRNA from 1 species